AGAGUUUGAUCCUGGCUCAGAAUGAACGCUGGCGGCAGGCCUAACACAUGCAAGUCGAACGGGUCCUUCGGGACUAGUGGCGGACGGGUGAGUAACGCGUGGGAACAUACCCAAAGGUACGGAAUAGCCUCUGGAACCGGAGANUAAUACCGUAUGUGCCCUUCGGGGGGAAAGAUUUAUUCGCCUUUGGAUUUGGCCCGCCUUGGAUUAGGUAGUUGGUGGGGUAAUGGCCUACCCAAGCCCGACGAUCCCAUAGCUGUUUUGAGAAGGAUUAUUCAAGCCACACUGGGACUUGAGACACCGGCCCCAGACUCCUACGGGAGGGCAGCCAGUGGGGAAUCUUUAGACAAUGGGGGAAACCCCUGAUCUAGUCAUGCCCGCGUGAUCGAUGAAGGCCUUAGGGUUGUAAAGAUCUUUCAGAUGGGAAGAUAAUGACGGUACCAUCAGAAAGAAGCCCCGGCUAACUCCGUGCCAGCAGCCCGCGGGUAAUACGGAGGGGGCUAGCGUUAUUCGGAAUUACUGGGCGUAAAGCGCACGUUAGGCGGAUUAGUAAAGUCAGAGGUGAAAUCCCAAGGGCUCAACCUUGGGAACUUGCCUUUGAAAACUCCCUAGUUCUUGGAGGUCGAGAGAAGGUGAGUGGAAUUCCGAAGUGUUAGAAGGUGAAAAUUUCGUAGAUUAUUCGGAAGGAACACCAGUGUGCGAAAGGGCGGCUCACUGGCUUCGAUACUGACGCUGAGAGUCGCGAAAGCGUGGGGAGCAAACAAGGAUUAGAUACCCUGGUAGUCCACCGCCGUAAACGAUGAAUGCCAGUCGUCGGGUAGCAUGCUAUUCGGUGACACACCUAACGGAUUAAGCAUUUCGCCUGGGGAGUACGGCCGCAAGGUUAAAACUCAAAGGAAUUGACGG
rnacentral:rRNA from 1 species